rnacentral:rRNA from 1 species
UACGUAGGGUGCGAGCGUUGUCCGGAAUUAUUGGGCGUAAAGAGCUUGUAGGCGGUUUGUCGCGUCUGCUGUGAAAAUCCGGGGCUCAACCCCGGACUUGCAGUGGGUACGGGCAGACUAGAGUGUGGUAGGGGAGACUGGAAUUCCUGGUGUAGCGGUGAAAUGCGCAGAUAUCAGGAGGAACACCGAUGGCGAAGGCAGGUCUGCUGGGCCACUACUGACGCUGAGAAGCGAAAGCAUGGGGAGCGACAGG